rnacentral:rRNA from 1 species
UACGUAGGGUGCAAGCGUUUGUCCGGAAUUAUUGGGCGUAAAGAGCUCGUAGGCGGCUUGUCGCGUCGUCCGUGAAAACCUGCAGCUCAACUGCAGGCUUGCGGUCGAUACGGGCAUCACUGGAGUUCGGCAGGGGAGACUGGAAUUCCUGGUGUAGCGGUGAAAUGCGCAGAUAUCGGGAGGACACCAGUGGCGAAGGCGACUUCCUGGCCUGUUCUUGACGCUGAGGCGCGAAAGCGUGGGGAGCGAACGAGGAU